rfam:Medicago truncatula strain A17 chromosome 4, whole genome shotgun sequence.
UUAUAAACAAAAUUUUAUUUUUUAGAUUCAUUCAAUAAAUGAUGUAUGUGAUCUAUUUAAUGGAUCACAUACAUCAUUUAUUGAAUGAACCUAAAAAGUAGAUUUUUGUUUAUAC